rnacentral:rRNA from 1 species
CGAUCCUUCGGGAUCAAUUAGCGGCGGACGGGUGAGUAACACGUGGGUAACCUGCCUCAAAGAGGGGAAUAGCCUCCCGAAAGGGAGAUUAAUACCGCAUAAUAUGUUUUGAUCGCAUGAUCUUAACAUCAAAGGAAUAGUCUUCGGAUUAUUUCGCUUUGAGAUGGACCCGCGGCGCAUUAGCUAGUUGGUGAGGUAAAGGCCCACCAAGGCAACGAUGCGUAGCCGACCUGAGAGGGUGAUCGGCCACAUUGGAACUGAGACACGGUCCAGACUCCUACGGGAGGCAGCAGUGGGGAAUAUUGCGCAAUGGGGGAAACCCUGACGCAGCAACGCCGCGUGAAUGAUGAAGGCCUUCGGG